CAUAAGCUUACAUCAGUUAGACACCCGUAAUCAAACGAAGAGGUUGAGGUGACCAACUGAAUAAUCUUGCAUGGGUUAAAGACCCGACUGAAUGAGGUUAAAGGUCUUUAGAUUGAAGAGCUAUAUCUAGUCUUAUGGACAUAUCGGACAACUCUCCAUAUACCGAUUGGAGAGUCUCCUUUCAACUUAGCCUACGGAAUGGAGGCGAUGAUCCCACUCG
rnacentral:lncRNA from 1 species